AGCAGUGUGACGUUGAGUUUGAACUCAGAUGUCUUCUCAAUAAACCAGGUGACGAUAAACAAUAAUAAUCGUGUUUUUAUGUGUCUGAUACGGGCGGAGAAUGAACUCUAUCUGAGAUUGUAAUCUGAGUUUGAGUCAACAGAGCAAACGUCUUGUGUUGAUGUUUGUUAAAUGACGAUGUUCUUCAGAGCGCGAGUGGAGCGCUGACGACAGACGACGAGAACAACAGCUCAUGUCAAACCUGCUGUCAAUCAUCCAACAGAGGAAUGACAUCAUCAGCAGCCUGGAGCAGGACAGGCAGAGGGAGGAAGAGGAGGACACGAUACUGACAGCUGUGAUCCAGAGGAGAGAUUUCCACACACAGCCGGAGAAAUGCAACAGGAAGUUUAAACCUCGGCGUAUCUUCAAGUCAAUCGUUCGUAAGAAAAACAGCUGAAAGAAGACUUCUAAAAACACUGUUAAUAAUGUUUAUAACGAUAAACUGAUAUAAGACAUAUCCAGCAUGUCCACAUGUAUCAGUGAAGAGGUUUAGAUGAUUUUAGAUACGAUUGUUAUUUAUUGUGUGAUUUUAGAGAGGCAAUAAAUUCUGGGAACCUUUGUGCAACCAUGCUGCAACGUUUCAUCCAUGUGUUGUUUAAUCUGAAAAUCCCAGCACAGUGACGUCACAUGCUGUCCCACAAUGCACUGCGUGUACACCUCAUUGACGUUAUAAAAGGCAUUUUUCAGUGGUUUUAAAUGUAUUUCACAUGUUGUUUAUUGAUUAUUAUGAUUAUAGUAA